GGCCUUCCCCUCUCCCCGCGCGCCGCUGCGGCCUUCCCCUCCUCCAGCGCGCCGCCGUUGCCUCCCCCUUCCCACAACGCGCCGCCCCGGCCUCCCCUACCCCCAGCGCGCCGCCGCACCCACCCACUCCCCCAGCGCUUCGAUGCGACCGCCGCCUUCGCUCUGCGCCGCCAACGCGGAUCCGGCACCCCUGGCCACCGCUGGCCGCCCCGGCCUCCGGCGUUGGCAUGCCCGCAGCCACCACACCUUCCAUGGCCUUGGUCCGCACCCGCCCCAGCUCGCGCCGGCUUUCCCUGCCCCAUCUCUCGCUGGCCGCCUACCUGCGCCGGCCGACCCACCUCCCACCUCUCACACGCCGGCACGACCACACGCCAUCACCGCCGGCAUGGAAGGCGGCCUCACCUUUUCUAACCCAGCUUCGGCCGCUGGCCCGCCCCAACCUACGCUGGCUUCCGCUGACACACCGCCGUCGUUUCCGUGGCCGCAACACCCCGUCCGUUCACAUCCGCCACCCUGGAUCGUUCAAUGACCCAGCGGCAAGCCGUUCGACGUCGCAGCUCGAGAGGUGCCCGUCUCAGCUUUUCCCAACCUCCCCUGGACGUUCAAGCUCCUUCUCUUCAGUAUAUUCAGUUCAACAUCCGGUGCUUCUUCAGUUCAUCGUAGUGUGCAUUUUCACUUCAUCUUGCAGGUAUGAUCAUUCUCUGCCCCUGCUAAUGUAUUUUGUAGUAACUUUGUAAACAAAAGAGAUAGCACACUGGAACAAAACAGCAGUGAAGAAAGAUACCCUGUGUUAAUUUUGGUCACUCUAUUGUUCGUUCCAUCACUUGGAGAUGUGUGCCUGACCAUUUUUUCUCAAAUUUGGCAUUUGUCAAGUUGUGAGGCUACCCAUUCGGGUGUUCAUUUCAUUGGUUAAAUGUUGAAUUUAGGCUAUGAGAUUGGUAAGACCAUAAUCCAUGGACCAGUCUUCAAUUGUUAUCCUGUAGAUCAAUUCGGGUGUCCUUAUGUUACAACAGUUCGAUGACAAAAAACACAUUAGUUCAGAAAAGCAUGUGCAAGCCAAAACAGAGGACAUUAAGAGCUCCAGUGGGAUCAAUACUGAAAUAGAGAGUUCUUAUCUUAGUUCAGUUCAAUAUCUAAUUUUAGUUCGGUUCGAUUCUUAUUUUAGUUCAGUACACUCAUUGCCUAGAACAGCAGCUAUCUGUUAAUCUGGCAAGCAAAAUGAAUCUGAAACCUUUAUGUUCUGGUAUCACUUGGUGCUGUCUGUCAUGAUUUAGGAGGUUCGGAUGAACAGGGACGCGAGCACCUGCCGGAGAGCUCCUCCUCAAUGAGCAAUUGGCCUCGUGGUGCACUUGUGCUCUACACAUGUUUGUCUUAAAGCCUUUUUAAGAAAAGAACAUGUUUAUGAUGUGAAACAUCAGUAGAUUACUAGCGGUUCACUAUGUAUUAUUUCAUUAGUUCUCAUAGAGAAACAUGGGGAAUAGUUCGAUCUGUGUUGGAGAAAUAGUUGAGUUUUAUAUAUCAUACAAAAGAAAAGGAACAUGUUUCCUAUAGGAGAAAAUCGAAAACAUCUUUAGCAACUCACUAUUAUUCUACCACCAGUUAAGAAGCAAAAAUAUAUAGUUUGGUGUUUUAGAGAGAGGGAGAGGGAGAGAUUGAUUUCCUCUACUUGCCUUUUAUAAAUGUCUACUUUCGUGCUACCUUGUUCAGUUCCAUUACUAAAUUUUGGUUAGCUCAAUGCUUGUUAUAGUUUCAGUUCAGUUCAGGCCAAGUAAAAGUACCCAUGAACUGUCUGGGUGCUUGGCCCUUCCCUUCCCCUCCCGCUCGCAGCUCGCUGGCAUUGGAUUCUUCGCUAAUCCAUCUUAGCUUUUCAGUUUGUGCACUGCCAUACAAAAAUGUGAGUACUGCUAUUAGCCAACGUUCGAGACAAAGAAUUACUAGUUUGUAUACUGCCAUUAGCACUUAUACCUCACAAUUUAAUGACUUUGUUUCCUGAGAGCAGGGCAAAAAAAUACAUCAUUGUACUCCAAAAAGAAAAUACUUUAGGAGUGUGAGAAAGGUUUUCUUGCUUAUUACUGUUGGUGCACAACUGUGGUAUUUUAGAAUCCAUCAUCAGUCUAUGCGCGUCCAGCAAAGAUUUUGGUAGCAGUGGCGUUCUUUUUUGCAUCAGUUCAGCCUCAUGAGGCUUUAUCAGUUCAGUUCAGCCUCAUCAGUUCAGUAAGUUUGUUCAGAUCCGGUGUUCCGAUUGCCCAUCUUCACGAAAAGGGGUUGGCCCCGGCCGGCUUGGAUCUAACGAGAGAAGCGAAGUGGGUAGCGGAGGAGCAGCUGCCUUGCAGGCGCAUGGCAAUGGUGGCAUGGCCGCUGCGCAUGACGCAGACAGCAGGGACAGCGCGCCUGCGGAGUCCUGGGAAUUUGAGAUGAAGCCGGAUUCAUGGGCACCGGGGUGGAUUAAGAGAUGGGAGAAGGAAAUCAGUCCAACAGGCGUAUCUAAAGCGACAUGUCGUGAACCACCCACUCGUCCCCACGCUGCUCGUCGUGUCGUGCCGCCUCGCCAUCAACCACCAUUCACCAUUGUGGCUCAACCCUGCGGUGCUUCCACGACCACCACACGCAACCUCCCUCUAUCGUUGCCCUUGCCCUGCUCUCCUCCCUCUAUCAGUUCAAAAACCAUUGUGAAAUGUAUUUUUACUCUGCUUUAAUUGCUGCGGGUGCUUCCCUAUGUGUGAUGAUUCUGAUUGCUUAGCACUUUGUGGAUGGUGGCUUGUUGUAAUGCUUAUCAAUCUACUGUGGCAAUUACGAGAAAUAUCAGUAGCAAGUCCAAGCUCUCUUUAAGUGGUGGUACAUAGUGUAGUGGUAACAGGUGCAAUGAUAAUUCAUCUAAAAUAUGUUCAAGGAGUAAUAUGUUGUUUCCUUACUGUCUAAAUCUUGUUUUGGUUAUGUCUAAAGGUCUAAAGAAACUCAUAAUUUUCUCACUGUUAGCUAUGUAAAACAACUGAACACAAGUUCACUUUUCAUUGCUUUAGUAGUUCAAUGUGUUUUCAGUAUUCUUUUUCUUUAAUGUUUAUUCUAUCAUCCGUUUGGUGUGUAUUUCUGUUUCAGUUCAUCUAGUUGCCGAUUGUAAGUCUAGUUUCCUCUGUGUUUCCACGUUCUUCCUAUAGCACAUAUAAAAGUUUGAUGAGUGUUUAUUCAGUUUCAGGUUAAAAUUGGUUUUUGAUGCUAUUGUUCCUGUGGUGGGUCUGUCAGUAGAAGUUGGAGCAGUCAAGCCCAGCCAUGGCAUGCGUCCGCAGAUGACGACGAUGACUUCGUGUGCGUGCCUGCAUGUGCUCAUGUGUUGUACUGGUGUGGGGUGUGCAUGAUGUGUGUGUGUGUGUUUUUCUGAUUCUAAUUGAAGUUUUCAUCUGGAUGUUUCUCUGAGACGUUCAAGUAUUACUGUCUAAAAGGUGCAGUUAUGAACUCACCCACGGGUUCAGGUUACUUAUUCAUGCUGCUGGCCCUUAGUGCUAGUUGAAAAGUUACAUACUGAAGAUGACUAGUAUCUCUGAGUUCUAAUGCUCCUAACGAUCGUUUGGAAUCUUAUCUUCAAUAUCUUGCUGAUAUGGAAUAGUAGAAUGUCGCAAUAUAUACUUGUACAAAGUUUUUUUAGUACUGAUGACUAGUACUUGCCUUGACAGUACAACGCUUUGCUGCCGGUUGCGAGGAUGUGCAACAUAUCUUUAAGCAAGCAUUUAUGUUGUAUUACAAACAAAAAUCUUUCCUCUGUUCCAUAGAAGAUUGUGUGAUUUUUUAAAUAUAUUUUAGAAAAGAAGUGUACAGACUGUAGCUUAGCAUUUGAUAAUUGUUUGCAACAUGUACGAUCUUUGGAUGAUUAUGUAAUUGUUUUCAUGCGUUACCAUGUGUCCAACAGUUCAGUAUGUAUUUUAUAAUCAUUUCAAAGGGCAUAUCAAAUUCGGUAUGGAUUGUUGCAUCUAUGGUUACUAUCACAAAACACAAAAACAUUUCUUGGAGAAGAAAAUUUAGCCAAUUCAAGUAUAUAAACCAUGCAAGUUCGGUGAUGAUGACACGUCGACACACAUUUUAAAUCAAACCUAAAAGUUACAUUUCUACAAGUUCAAGUGAUCAACCCCUGAACAUUUUGGAUUGUGAAAAAUAAAUCAGUACAAAUACACGCAUAUAUCAGUACGAGCUCUAAAAUUCCGUAUCAGGGUAUUUUUUUCAUUGGUUCUAAAAUUCCCAGAGCAUCAGUCCAACGACGUAUCGGGGUAUACUGUGUUGCUCCUGCGAUUUUUUGUAUGCUUGUAUGUACAAAAAAAAAUGGUACAGUUACUGCUUUGAUGUGUCGUGGUGCGAAUGUUGUUGAUGUUCAAAGUUUGUGCAGAGAAAGACUUCAAAAA